rnacentral:rRNA from 1 species
ACCAGACUCCUACGGGAGGCAGCAGUGGGGGAUAUUGCACAAUGGGGGGAACCCUGAUGCAGCGACGCCGCGUGGAUGAAGAAGCGCCUCGGCGCGUAAAGCCCUGUCAGCAGGGAAGAAAAUGACGGUACCUGAAGAAGAAGCCCCGGCUAACUACGUGCCAGCAGCCGCGGUAAUACGUAGGGGGCAAGCGUUAUCCGGAUUUACUGGGUGUAAAGGGGGCGCAGACGGCGAUGCAAGCCAGGAGUGAAAGCCCGGGGCCCAACCCCGGGACUGCUCUUGGAACUGCGUGGCUGGAGUGCAGGAGGGGCAGGCGGAAUUCCUGGUGUAGCGGUGAAAUGCGUAGAUAUCAGGAGGAACACCGGUGGCGAAGGCGGCCUGCUGGACUGCAACUGACGUUGAGGCCCGAAAGCGUGGGGAGCAAACAGGAUUAGAUACCCCCGUAAA